AGGGUUUUAUCCUCUACGUAGUCCAAGACAGGGUUUUAUCCUCUACGUAGUUCAAGACAGGGUUUUAUCCUCUACGUAUCCAAGACAGGGUUUUAUCCUGGUGUCUACGUAGUCCAAGACAGGGUUUUAUCCUCUACGUAGUCCAAGACAGGGUUUUAUCCUGGUGUCUACAUAGUUCUGUAGUCCAAGACAGGGUUUUAUCCUCUACGUAGUCCAAGACAGGGUUUUAUCCUGGUGUCUACAUAGUUCUGUAGUCCAAGACAGGGUUUUAUCCUCUACGUAGUCCUGUCUGUGUGUGUCUGAACUACUACCGUAGACUCUGGUCUCUCGUGUCCUCCAGGCUUGACCUCUAACCUGAAUGUAGGCCUGGACAUGGGGUCUGGUGUGGGCUGUAAGGAGCCUCAGUCUCGUCUGAAGAAAUGGACGGCCAUGGACGUUAACUCGCCUCUGGAGCGAAAACCUGGUGCCAUGUCGUCUGGGCUGCGUCUGGAAGAUUCUCCCUUCGGUCCGCACGACUUCCUGUCUGCUGGCUCCGCCCC
rnacentral:lncRNA from 1 species